AACGAACGCUGGCGGCAUGCCUAACACAUGCAAGUCGAACGGCACCUUCGUGUCUAGUUGCGCACGGGUGCGUCACGCGGGGGAACCUGCCCUUAGGCUCCGAAUACUACUUUUUAGGGGGUGCUAAUACCGGAAAAUUUAUUCUGACAAAAGAUUUAACGUCUUUGGAUGGGCCGGCGUUGCUUUAGCUAGUUGGUAGGGUAAAAGCCUAUCACGGCGACGAUCGAUAGCGGGUCAGAGAGAAAGAGCAGCCACACUGGGAGUGAGACACGGCGCAGAAUCCUACGGGAGGCAGCAGAGGGGAAUACUGGACAAUGGGGGAAAGGAUGAUCCAGCAAUGCCGCGUGAGUGAUGAAGGCCUGAGGGUUGUAAAGCUCUUUUACCCGGGAUGAUAAUGACAGUACCGGGAGAAUAAGCACCGGCUAACUCCGUG
rnacentral:rRNA from 1 species